AACGUAGGUGGCGAGCGUUAUCCGGAUUUACUGGGCGUAAAGGGUGUGCAGGCGGGCUGUUAAGUGGUGCAUGAAAUCUCCGCGCUUAACGUGGAGAGGCUGUGCCAGACUGGCAGUCUAGAGUACGAGAGAGGGUUGUGGAAGUUCCGGGUGUAGUGGUGAAAUGCGUAGAGAUCCGGAGGAACACCGGUGGGCGAAGGCGGGUCUCUGGGCCGAUACUGACGCUGAGGAGCGAAAGCGUGGGGAGCGAACAGG
rnacentral:rRNA from 1 species